UCACGCUCCGUUGUGGGCUUGGUGUUCGUUUGCGGUUCCUGUGUUGCGUUCCUCUCUAAUGGCAUUCGUGGUGGCUUGCGAAGACCCUUUCCGUCCAAGGCCUCCUUUGGGGGGUCGUUGGAGGAUUUCAAAGUAGUGCUCGUGCCCCCGGUUUGUCGAACGGCUAACGCGGCUCACGAGUAUCUAUUGGCCUCUUGGAUGCGGUGCAUGCGGCGAACGCGGGUGCGUUGCCCCGUUGUGUCCCUUCAAUUUUUCGGUUGGCUUGAAUGACACGUGCCAUCGAGCUUGCUUUGCCUGCCUCUCUCGAGCGGCAAUGCUCGCACGGUGC
rnacentral:misc_RNA from 1 species